CAUGCCCUAUAAUUUUGGAAACCAGAAGAUUUCAUAUGAUUUUUUCAAAGAUUAAAAAAAAUGGCGACAGUCCCCUUCUUCUUUCAAUCGACAACCCCUUUUUUCUGGCGAAUCGUUCUUCUUCAACCAUUCAGACAAUGAUUAAAUAUUCUGGCUACAUACUGAAGAUCCAAGUUCAUCGUUCCUCUUCUUCUUUUUCAUCCAAUCAAUAUGUUAAUCAAAAGUUCCAGUUUACAAAAGUUUCUUCCAGCGGCGAUUGAUUAUUCCGACGAGUUCUUGGAGCCAGUUCAUCACUUUCAUAUUUCAUCGGAAGCUACACUAUUCUCGCUGACAUUUGUAUGGUCGCCGUUAGUUGAUUGGGUAUUGUACUGGUAUUCCGGUGAACGUUAAUCGGAGACGGCUUGGAUUCCAACGAAUAUUAAUCGAAAAAGGCAGUUGAUUUUUUAAACUCAGGUGUGUAUCGUUAGUUGCUUGGGUAUUGUACUUGUAUUUCGAUGAACAUUAAUCGGAGAAGGCUUGGAUUCCGGUGAACAUUUAAUCGGAAAAGGUUGUUGUUUUUUUAAACCCAGGUUGUUGUCAUUCAAUAGAAGAAAUAUAUAGAUAACAUCUUUAUACACAUGUAUAUAUUAUAUGAUGACCUUCUUUUACUAGUAAGCUAUGUGUAUAUGCACAAGUGUUUAGUGAAAAUUUUUAUUAAAGUUUGUGGUUUUAUGUUUCCCCUGAGUGAUACAUAGAUGUAUAGAUCAUGUAUGUUUUAGUUGUUUUAUGU